CCAUAUUGUUAGAAAAUCUCAAAAGUUCAAUUCAGUAGAGCAGAACACUUUUAAAGCUAAACAAAUUGAAAAACAUAGCACUCAUCCAAAAGCUAGUCAAAUACAAAUAACCAACCUGUUAUAAUAUGAUUUUAUUAUUAAAAUGGAGAUUCAUAUAAAUGAAAAUUUUACCUACUGAGUAGCUACUUUCAUAUAAUUAAACAUAUAUAAGUCACGUCAACUAUUUACAAUAUUUUUCUUGAAUUUAUUGAGUGACCAAUGAGAACAGGGAGUUUUAUGCUUCAAGAAUUCUCUUAGCAUCAGCAACUAAUGUGCACGAAUACUUCUUUUUCAUCUGGAUAUAACUCCAGCGAUGGGCUUAUCAAAACCUGCAUAAUAACAUGUGAAAUAUCAAAAGUUUCAUUCAUUGAACAAACAUAUUCAAAGUGCUGAGAAUCCAAAGUCUAGGUACUAAAGUUUGUUCUAUCCAAGAAAUAUUCCAAGAUAAUAUAUGUAGUCUGUUGAUAUGAUUCUUUAUCCCAGCCAUUCAAGGACAUCAUAGAGGAAAUGAGAAUACAAAAAGUAAUAAUUGUUAUGCAAAUUUCUAGGAGUUCUAUUUAUUGCUACAAUGAGGCUGGAACCUUUGGGUUAAUGAGCGUUCCAAUAAUGCAAGUUACACCAGAAUCUCCACCUUGCCUAUAUUGUCCAGGUUUCGUAGGCGGCAGGAUAUCUAGAUAAAACUCUCAAAACUAUAAGUUAAUACAAAGAAUUGUGUAAUACUUCUACCAUUAGUAGUCGGAAAAGAACCUCAGCAAAAAAUUUUUGGGAUCCUAAUAAUCAAACUUAGUAUUUUCUUUUUGCUCUUCUUCAGGUAAAACAUCACAUGCCAAUGUUUCUUCAAUAAAAGGACUACCAAAAAUAGUCAAAAUCCAUGUUACCAACAGGAAGAUAUGUCUUAUGAUAAACAAUUCAUAAGCAUUGUUUAAAAUGAAAUAAAAACUGAUUUUUCAGGUGACGAUCCUGUAAAACAUUUGGAAAUGAAACAACAUUAACUCCGAGGAUAUAUAUACUAAUUCAUCUACAUGUGCCAGUAACCUUUACAAAGGUUCUGCUUCAGGAUCUAUCCCUUUUAACAACAUCAGAGAAAGCUAUAGAGAAAUGGUGCUGAAAUUUCUAAAAAGAUUGUAUCAUUUUAUAUGACAGGAGCCUGGAAAUGAUAGGUUAGUUAAGAACCUCUACAGUUUGACAUGGAUAAAUAGACACCUCAAGCUAGAGUUUUGAAUUUUAUAGAAUUAGUUGAAGAGAUCUUCUGUAGGCGAACAAUCUAUUCCUUUACGCUAUGCCACCUAUCUAUAUAUAUAU
rnacentral:lncRNA from 1 species